AUUGAACGCUGGCGGCAUGCCUUACACAUGCAAGUCGAACGGCAGCGGGGGAGAAGCUUGCUUUUCCUGCCGGCGAGUGGCGAACGGGUGAGUAAUACAUCGGAACGUGCCCUGUAGUGGGGGAUAACUAGUCGAAAGAUUAGCUAAUACCGCAUACGACCUGAGGGUGAAAGUGGGGGACCGCGAGGCCUCAUGCUAUAGGAGCGGCCGAUGUCUGAUUAGCUAGUUGGUGGGGUAAAGACCUACCAAGGCGACGAUCAGUGGCUGGCCUGGGAGGACGAGCAGCCACACUGGGACUGAGACACGGCCCAGACUCCUACGGGAGGCAGCAGUGGGGAAUUUUGGACAAUGGGCGAAAGCCUGAUCCAGUAAUGCCGCGUGUGUGAAGAAGGCCUUCGGGUUGUAAAGCACUUUUGUCCGGAAAGAAAUGGCUCUGGUUAAUACCUGGGGUCGAUGACGGUACCGGAGGAAUAAGGACCGGCUAACUACGUGCCAGCCGCCGCAGUAA
rnacentral:rRNA from 1 species